GACGAACGCUGGCGGCGUGCUUAACACAUGCAAGUCGAACGGAAAGGCCCUGCUUUUGUGGGGUGCUCGAGUGGCGAACGGGUGAGUAACACGUGAGUAACCUGCCCUUGACUUUGGUAUAACUUCAUGAAACUGGGGCUAAUACCGGAUAGGAGCUCCUGCUGCAUGGUGAGGGUUGGAAAGUUUCGGCGGUUGGGGAUGGACUCGCGGCUUAUCAGCUUGUUGGUGGGGUAGUGGCUUACCAAGGCUUUGACGGGUAGCCGGCCUGAGAGGGUGACCGGCGACAUUGGGACUGAGAUACGGCCCAGACUCGUACGGGAGGCAGCAGUGGGGAAUAUUGCACAACGGGAGGAAGCCUGAUGCAGAAACGCCGCGUGCGGGAUGACGGCCUUCGGGUUAUAAACCGCUUUCGCCUGUGACGAAGCGGGAGUGACGGUAAUGGGUAAAGAAGCACCGGCUAACUACGUG
rnacentral:rRNA from 1 species